AACGAACGCUGGCGGCAGGCUUAACACACGCAAGUCGAGCGCCCCGCAAGGGGAGCGGCAGACGGGUGAGUAACGCGUGGGAAUCUACCGUGCCCUACGGAAUAGCUCCGGGAAACUGGAAUUAAUACCGUAUACGCCCUACGGGGGAAAGAUUUAUCGGGGUAUGAUGAGCCCGCGUUGGAUUAGCUAGUUGGUGGGGUAAAGGCCUACCAAGGCGACGAUCCAUAGCUGGUCUGAGAGGAUGAUCAGCCACAUUGGGACUGAGACACGGCCCAAACUCCUACGGGAGGCAGCAGUGGGGAAUAUUGGACAAUGGGCGCAAGCCUGAUCCAGCCAUGCCGCGUGAGUGAUGAAGGUCUUAGGAUUGUAAAGCUCUUUCACCGAUGAAGAUAAUGACGGUAGUCGGAGAAGAAGCCCCGGCUAACUUCGUGCCAGCCGCCGCCGUAAUAC
rnacentral:rRNA from 1 species